GCAUUAAUGGGGUAGUGGUAACCUGGGUCGUUGCCAUUCGAGCCUUGACUCGACCCGCCGGGGGUUCGAUUCCCUCUUAAUGCA
rnacentral:tRNA from 1 species